UACAGAGGGUGCAAGCGUUAAUCGGAAUUACUGGGCGUAAAGCGUGCGUAGACGGUUACAUAAGUCGGGUGUGAAAGCCCCGGGCUCAACCUGGGAAUUGCAUUCGAGACUGCGUAGCUAGGGUGCGGAAGAGGGAAGCGGAAUUUCCGGUGUAGCGGUGAAAUGCGUAGAUAUCGGAAGGAACACCAGUGGCGAAAAGCGGCUUCCUGGUCCAGCACCGACGUCAGGCACGAAAG
rnacentral:rRNA from 1 species